rnacentral:rRNA from 1 species
GAUGAACGCUAGCGGCAGGCCUAAUACAUGCAAGUCGAGGGGUAGAGGAGGCUUGCUUCUUUGAGACCGGCGCACGGGUGCGUAACGCGUAUGCAACCUACCUUCAUCUGGGGGAUAGCCCGGAGAAAUCCGGAUUAAUACCGCAUAAAAUCACAGGAUGGCAUUAUCCAAUGAUCAAACAUUUAUGGGAUGGAGAUGGGCAUGCGUGUCAUUAGCUAGUUGGCGGGGUAACGGCCCACCAAGGCGACGAUGACUAGGGGAUCUGAGAGGAUGGCCCCCCACGCUGGUACUGAGACACGGACCAGACUCCUACGGGAGGCAGCAGUAAGGAAUAUUGGUCAAUGGAGGCAACUCUGAACCAGCCAUGCCGCGUGCAGGAAGACUGCCCUAUGGGUUGUAAACUGCUUUUAUUCGGGAAUAAACCUUAUUACGUGUAAUAAGCUGAAUGUACCGAAGGAAUAAGGAUCGGCUAACUCCGUGCCAGCAGCCGCCGUAA